AUCAGUGACUCACUUAAAUUCCGGCAGCUUGUGGGCAACAUUUUUGUUGCCAACAAGCUGUGUAAAACUAUAUAGUAGUUUUACAUAGUUCUAAACAGACAAUGGUGCAAAAUGAUAUCUAUUUUUAAGACUCUUCCCUUGAUGAGUAAAACAUCUGAAUUUAAUCUCACAGAUUGAGUAAAAUAAGAAGGUAGCCAGGGUUCAUUGCAGUUUAAUAUUGGGCUGACUAUAUAUCUCAGGGGCUGUUUAUUUGCCGAUAGUGUAAUUAACCCACUGCGUGACAGCAGGGAGCAGUCUCGUUUAGUUUCAAUCCCCUUAUAAGAUCGUCUGGCAUUAGACAGAAUAAAAUAAUAAAGACAGUCUUUACUCUUUAGGGCUCAUCAGGACAGGGCACAUGGAUUGUCACAUGUAGGUGAGCCUCCUCUACGGCUCAACUCUCUCUGGUCUCAGGGCCUUUUUUAAGGAUUUUCCCGUGGGGGGGGGGCAUUUUUUGAAAAGGGACCUUUCUGUGAGAUAAUAUAUUACAGGGAGAUAGCAAUGGCUG
rnacentral:lncRNA from 1 species